GCCUUAAUUUUAUGAAAUUAAACUAAUUAGGAAUAUAUUAUGACAGGUCCGCCAUCUACAUUGCAAGCCAAGAGACGAGGAACCUUUACUUGCGCCAUCCAGCGGCCCUUACAUGUGAAUCAGAUGGAGCCAGUAGGACGUACAUCAAAUAUGUAAAUAUACGUGUAUGAUUGGUGUCAACUACGUUGCGCCAUCUAGAAGGUAUAUUUCAGUAUAUUUCUGAGGGUCAGACGGUAUUAUUUAUCGAUAAUUCCGCGGUAACACUGAUUGCAUUGUUUUGAUGAUAAUUUUGCUAAGUUUUGUCUGUUUUUUGUGUUUUUAGAACUAAUCUUUUGCGUCUAGCCGAUGUACAACUCACAGCGUCCGCGUCGUCAUGUGGCCAGGGCGUUGGCGAUGUGUGCGGGUUGGAUGACACACGAAUGACUGAAUACGUGAAUUGAAAACAGAAGCGUCGCAAGAAAUGUGCGCUCGGUACCAGAUUAAGCUAUUGGCCAUUGUUCAUAUCCUGCAUGAAUUUGGCCAAUAAAGAGUCUGACAACAAUGUGAAGAAAGAUCGCCUCCUGCAUCCCCUGGACAUAUAUACCUACAUAUUGACGGCAGAGUUGUCUGAGCAAGUUCAACAAGGAUGGCAUCUUUGCACAGAGCAAGACGGCCUGUCCGAGAACCUCAGAGAUGCCACCGACGAGCGGGUUUGCGAUAAUUAGUUGGUUCUGCUGGUUGGCAACGAUUGCUUAGACUUCCUACAGCAGCGGAGCGGAACUGCCAGAUGACAGACAGACAUGGCACUCGCAAAGAUCCUGUGGGAAUAACUGAUGGAGCUGGAUGAGCUGGCCUUGACUUAUGGAUCCCAAUUGAUGGAACUCCACCCUUUGACUACAACGAGGAACUGUAGCCCACGACGUGGUUGUUGGAAUAUAGGAAUAUAUUAUGACAGGUCCGCCAUCUACAUUGCAAGCCAAGAGACGAGGAAUCUUUACGUGCGCCAUCCAGCGGCCCUUACAUGUGAAUCAGAAGGAGCCAGUAGGACGUACAUCAAAUAUGUAAAUAUACGUGUAUGAUUGGUGUCAACUACGUUGCGCCAUCUAGAAGGUAUGUUUCAGUAUAUUUCUGAGGAUCAGACGGUAUUAUUUAUCGAUAAUUCCGCGGUAACACUGAUUGCAUUGUUUUGAUGAUAAUUUUGCUAAGUUUUGUCUGUUUUUUGUGUUUUUAGAACUAAUCUUUUGCGUCUAGCCGAUGUACAACUCACAGCGUCCGCGUCGUGAUGUGGCCAGGGCGUUGGCGAUGUGUGCGGGUUGGAUGGCACACGAAUGACUGAAUACGUGGAAUGAAACCAGAAGCGUCGCAAAAACUGUGCGCUCGGUACCAGAUUAAGCUAUUGGCCAUUGUUCAUAUCCUGCAUGAAUUUGGCCAAUAAAGAGUCUGACAACAAUGUGAAGAAAGAUCGCCUCCUGCAUCCCCUGGACAUAUAUACCUACAUAUUGACGGCAGAGUUGUCUGAGCAAGUUUAACAAGGAUGGCAUCUUUGCACAGAGCAAGACGGCCUGUCCGAGAACCUCAGAGAUGCCACCGACGAGCAGGUUUGCGAUAAUUAGUUGGUUCUGCUGGUUGGCAACGAUUGCUUAGACUUCCUACAGCAGCGGAGCGGAACUGCCAGAUGACAGACAGACAUGGCACUCGCAAAGAUCCUGUGGGAAUAACUGAUGGAGCUGGAUGAGCUGGCCUUGACUUAUGGAUCCCAAUUGAUGGAACUCUACCCUUUGACUACAACGAGGAACUGUACUCCACGACGUGGUUGUUGUACAACAAUAAAAACAACAACUUUUGUGGUACAACAGUUUAAAUUGACAAUCUGUUCAUCCUGAAAGUAUGCCACACUUGUUGUAAUCAAAGCCACUCCC